rnacentral:rRNA from 1 species
CAAUAGCGUAUAUUAAAGUUGUUGCAGUUAAAAAGCUCGUAGUUGGAUUUCUGGUCGGAAGCUCCUGUCCUCUGAUGAGCGUACAAGUGCGUCCUACCAUCCUUCUGUUAACCUUUAAGGCUUUCGCGGCUUUCUAGGGGCUCAGAUAUUUUACCUUGAGAAAAUAAGAGUGUUUCAGGCAGGCUAGCGCCGGAAUACAUUAGCAUGGAAUAAUGGAAUAGGACUUUUGCCUCUUCUGUUGGUCAUGAGGCUCGAGUAAUGAUUAAUAGGGAUAGUUGGGGGCAUUAGUACUUAACUGUCAGAGGUGAAAUUCUCGGAUUUGUUAAAGACUAACUUAUGCGAAAGCAUUUGCCAAGGAUGUUUUCAUUAA